UACGAAGGGGGCUAGCGUUGCUCGGAAUCACUGGGCGUAAAGGGUGCGUAGGCGGGUCUUUAAGUCAGGGGUGAAAUCCUGGAGCUCAACUCCAGAACUGCCUUUGAUACUGAAGAUCUUGAGUUCGGGAGAGGUGAGUGGAACUGCGAGUGUAGAGGUGAAAUUCGUAGAUAUUCGGAGGAACACCAGUGGCGAAGGCGGCUCACUGGCGCGAUACUGACGCUGAGGUGCGAAAGCGUGGGGAGCAAACAGG
rnacentral:rRNA from 1 species